rnacentral:rRNA from 1 species
GACGAACGCUGGCGGCGUGCUUAACACAUGCAAGUCGUGCGGUAAGGCCCUUUCGGGGGUACACGAGCGGCGAACGGGUGAGUAACACGUGAGCAACCUGCCCUUCACUUUGGGAUAACUGCCGGAAACGGUGGCUAAUACCGGAUAUGACUUCCCCACGCAAGGGGGGUGGUGGAAAGCCUUCAGGUGGUGGUGGGUUGGCUUGCGGUCUAUCAGCUUGUUGGUGGGGUGAUGGCCUACCAAGGCCUCGACGGGUAGCCGGCAUGGGUCGGUGACCGGCGACCGUGGUACUGCGAGAGGGCGCAGACGCCAACGGGGGGCAGCGGGGGGAAGUCUUGGCCAAUGGGCGCGAGCGGGAUACAGAGGCCUCGCGUGAGGGAAGACGUCUUUCGGGUUAAAAACCUCUGUCGGCUGAGACGCAGCGAUAGUGACGGUAGCCAGUAAAGAAGCACCGGCCAACUACGUG